rnacentral:tRNA from 1 species
GCCGGCGUGGCGGAGCCCGGUCAAACGCGACGGUCUCGAAAACCGUAGUCUUCACAGACGCGCAGGUUCAAAUCCUGCCGCCGGCG